rnacentral:rRNA from 1 species
CUCAAAGAUUAAGCCAUGCAAGUGGUUAUAUUAACCCGACAGUUUAAAUAAGUGUUAAAUGCUACCAUUAAACUUAUGCAAUAUCACGCACACACACACAUAUGAUUUUGUUUACAGUAGUAACAAUUUCAGCGUGAAUCACACCAUCACACAGUGAAUCACUGAAAUUUACCCAAUAUCAGUAUCACUUACGCAACUGCAGACAGCUGCUUAAUACAGUCACACUUGUCUUGACUUGGCGUAAUAAAAAUAUUUCAUUCAAUACACUGCUUAAACGCAGUGCAGAGGGUGAAUUUUUUUAUUUUGUUGCAUCACACGCACAAAAUUUUUUGAUUUCUCUGUAUCGCUUAUUCUCAAGGACAUGCGUUACACCGUGACAAUUUUCUUUAUGGAUAACUCAGGGAAAGUUUGGCUAAUACGUACGAGUAAUAUACCUCACACACACACACACACAAUUCAAAAUUUUUUGUUUUGCGCCGUGUAUCGACAACACACACACACACACACAAUCACUACUCAGCACUCAGUGGUAAACUUUGAGUGCGCUCGCGCAUUCAGUAUAAAGUUUAACUGCAACAUGAGAGACAUUGAGCACGCACGUGUCGUACCUUCGGGUACUUCACAUCACGCUGAGCAGACUUUGCGAAGUUUACUUUGCGAAGCAUGUCAUACAAGCAUCUACAGCAUCAAGUCACAGGGUUGGCAAGUGUAUUUUUGAACCUUCAAAGCAGUCACGCAUACGGGAGAGUAGUUUCUGAUCCCAUAGAAGGAGCACCGUACAAUGAGAGACCGCUCUUAGUUCUAAGGAACGCAGCAGGCGCGUAAAUUGCCCAAUGCUAGUACCCUACAAUCAAAUUGUAUUCACAUGCGUUAACAAUUUACAACAUUACAACAAAGUUUAUUACACACAUAUAACACUAUAUUUUUUCUGUUACCCAACAGAAUUUAUUUAUUCUAAACAUCCUUGUUCGUUGUUUAUUCAGCACGAUGAUAUUAAUUUAUUAUUUUACUGAGGCAGUGACAAGCUGUAACGGUUGAGUAUAAAAAUGACGAGUGUCUGGCAUUGCCGCUCUUUCGGGAGCUUGGCAAGUUGCCGACGCUUUGUGUGCUCAAUUGGAAUGCGGUGAGUUUAAGCAACUCAGAACCUUUGAACGGUGUUAGUAAAAUUUCACUGUUUAUGUAUCUGAAUUUCAAGUGGAGGGCAAGUCUGGUGCCAGCAGCCGCGGUAAUACCAGCUCCACUGGCCUAUACAAUCAUUGUU